rnacentral:rRNA from 1 species
CAGCCGCCGCGGUAAUACGUAGGGUGCGAGCGUUAAUCGGAUUUACUGGGCGUAAAGCGUGCGCAGGCGGCCCGUUAAGACAGGUGUGAAAUCCCUGGGCUCAACCUAGGAAUUGCGCUUGUGACUGGCGGGCUCGAGUACGGUAGAGGGGGGUGGAAUUCCUGGUGUAGCAGUGAAAUGCGUAGAGAUCAGGAGGAACACCGAUGGCGAAGGCAGCCCCCUGGGCCUGUACUGACGCUCAUGCACGAAAGCGUGGGGAGCAAAAAGGAUUAGAUCCCCUGGUAGUCCACGCCCUAAACGAUGGGUACUAGCCGUUUGGUGCGCGAUAGCGCUGAGUGGCGAAGCUAACGCGUGAAGUACCCCGCCUGGGGAGUACGGCCGCAAGGUUGAAACUUAAAGGAAUUGGCGGG